CCUACGGGAGGCAGCAGUGGGGAAUAUUGCACAAUGGGGGAAACCCUGAUGCAGCGACGCCGCGUGAGUGAAGAAGUAUUUCGGUACGUAAAGCUCUAUCAGCAGGGAAGAAAAUGACGGUACCUGACUAAGACGCCCCGGCUAACUACGUGCCAGCAGCCGCGGUAAUACGUAGGGGGCAAGCGGUAUCCGGAUUUACUGGGUGUAAAGGGAGCGUAGACGGCAGGGCAAGUCUGGAGUGAAAUCCCAUGGCUUAACCAUGGAACUGCUUUGGAAACUGUGCAGCGAGAGUGCAGGAGAGGUAAGCGGAAUUCCUAGUGUAGCGGUGAAAUGCGUAGAUAUUAGGAGGAACACCAGUGGCGAAGGCGGCUUACUGGACUGUAACUGACGUUGAGGCUCGAAAGCGUGGGGAGCAAACAGGAUUAGAUACCCGAGUAGUC
rnacentral:rRNA from 1 species